GAGUAUGUAAUUUAAUGGAUAGCGAAAUGAAAAGAAGAAAUUGAAGAUAGGCGUUUGGGGCGCCUGUUUCUCUUCUUCACGAACCGCGAUCUGCUCACCUCGUCUCCUCUUUUCCCGAUGGCUCCCUCCUCUUCUCCAAUGCAUCUCACGCAACAAAGCUGCUUCCUCCUCCCUUCUCACGAGUUCCUCACGCGCACUGGUAAGAUUUUUUUUUUUUUUUUUUUUUUUUUUUUCUGUUUUCUUCAAGAAGGAACAGAGACAAUCCUUCUCUUCGCACUGGCAACUCCUAAUCCAUGCGCCAUUAAUGGAGAACAUGUGGAUGUUUCAUUUGGUAACCUUUGCAUCCCGUGUAUUGGUGGUGGAAAAAAUGAUGGGUGCUUCAGCUUUCAUAUUGAACAAAGGUAGGUAGGAUGGAAAACGCUGCAACAAUGUGAUACCUGAAGCGAGAGAAGCCGAGAGUGAGAGAGGCCGAGACCGUGAAAGGGCAGUGAACGACAAAGCUCUUCGUCUUCUUCUUCUUCUUCUUCUUCUUCAAUCAGAUGAUGAGGUGUUCAAGGAAUAUAUCAACAGAGGACUGUGACUGCUUUGGCUGGGUAGACCAAUUCGAUGAUUCUACCUCAGAUAGUGAUCAGAUAUUGAGAGCAUCUUUAGAGAAGUUAAUCUAUAGCAUUAAUUAUCUGCACUUCAAAAUUAAUAUUUUGAUAAUAUUAAUUAUUUUUUUAAUAUUGUUAAUUUUUUAUUUUGAUUGUUGUGUUACUGUUAAGUGAGAUGUUGCUUCUAAAUGUAACA